rnacentral:rRNA from 1 species
UACGAAGGGGGCUAGCGUUGCUCGGAUUGACUGGGCGUAAAGGGCGCGUAGGCGGUUUGUCCAGUCAGACGUGAAAUUCCUGGGCUCAACCUGGGGGCUGCGUUUGAUACGUGCAGACUUGAGUUCGGAAGAGGGUCGUGGAAUUCCCAGUGUAGAGGUGAAAUUCGUAGAUAUUGGGAAGAACACCGGUGGCGAAGGCGGCGACCUGGUCCGAUACUGACGCUGAGGCGCGAAAGCGUGGGGAGCAAACAGG